AUUGAACGCUGGCGGCAGGCUUAACACAUGCAAGUCGAGCGAGCGGCGGACGGGUGAGUAAUGUAUGGGAACCUGCCCGGUAGAGGGGGAUAACUACUGGAAACGGUGGCUAAUACCGCAUACUAUCGGAUGGACCCAUAUGGGAUUAGCUAGUAGGUGGGGUAAAGGCUCACCUAGGCAACGAUCCGUAGCUGGUUUGAGAGGAUGACCAGCCACACUGGGACUGAGACACGGCCCAGACUCCUACGGGAGGCAGCAGUAGGGAAUGUUGGGCAAUGGACGAAAGUCUGACCGAGCCACGCCGCGUGAGUGAAGAAGGUUUUCGGGUUGUAAAGCACUGUUGGUAGAGAAGCGGUAUCUAACCAGUAAGCCACGGCUAACUACGUGCCAGCAGCCGCGGUAAUAC
rnacentral:rRNA from 1 species